rnacentral:misc_RNA from 1 species
AGGGAUCAUUACCGAGUUCAUGCCCUUACGGGUAGACCUCCCACCCUAUGUUAUAUUACCUUUGUUGCUUUGGCGGGCCGCCCGGCUUCGGCCAGGCUACCGGCUCCAGCUGGUAAGCGCUCGCCAGAGGACCCUCAACUCUGAAUAUCAGUGUCGCCUGAGUACUAUAAAAUAGUUAAAACUUUCAACAACGGAUCUCUUGGUUCUGGCAUCGAUGAAGAACGCAGCGAAAUGCGAUAAGUAAUGUGAAUUGCAGAAUUCAGUGAAUCAUCGAAUCUUUGAACGCACAUUGCGCCCCUUGGUAUUCCGAGGGGCAUGCCUGUUCGAGCGUCAUUACAACCCUCAAGCACUGCUUGGUAUUGGGCUCCGCUGGCUCCAGCGGGCCUUAAAAUCAGUGGCGGCGCCGUUUGGGCUCUGAGCGUAGUAAAUAUCCUCGCUAUAGAGACCAGGCGGUUCUUGUCAUCAACCCCCAACUUUCUAAGUUUGACCUCGGAUCAGGUAGGGAUACCCGCUGAACUUAA